rnacentral:rRNA from 1 species
GACGAACGCUGGCGGCGUGCCUAAUACAUGCAAGUCGAACGCAGUGGGGCCGGGUGAGUAACACGUGGGUAACCUGCCAUCAGAGGAGAUAACACUUGGCAAAAGGUGCUAAACCGAUACUGAUGGAUGGACCCGGGGUGCAUUAGGUAGUUGGGGAGGUAAAGGCUCACCUAGGCCACGAUGCAUAGCCGACCUGAGAGUGUGAUCGGCCACACUGGGACUGAGACACGGUCCAGACUCAUACGGGAGGCAGCAGUAGGGAAGCUUCGGCAAUGGACGAAAGUCUGAUCGAGCAACGCCGCGUGAGUGAAGAAGGGUUUCGGAUCGUAAAACUCUGUUGUUAGAGAAGCGGUAUCUAACCAGAAAGCCACGGCUAACUACGUGCCAGCAGCCGCGGUAAUAC